GUAGGGAAUAUUGCACAAUGGGCGCAAGCCUGAUGCAGCAACGCCGCGUGCACGAUGAAGGCCUUCGGGUUGUAAAGUGCUUUUCUGGAGGACGAGACAGGACGGUACUUCAGGAAUAAGGAUCGGCUAACUACGUGCCAGCAGCCGCGGUAACACGUAGGAUCCGAGCGUUAUCCGAAUUUACUGGGCGUAAAGCGCGUGUAGGCGGCAAGGUAAGUUGGACGUGAAAUCUCCUGGCUCAACUGGGAGGGGUCGUUCAAGACUGCCUGGCUAGAGGGCGGUAGAGGGAGGUGGAAUUCCCGGUGUAGUGGUGAAAUGCGUAGAUAUCGGGAGGAACACCAGUGGCGAAGGCGGCCUCCUGGGCCGCACCUGACGCUCAGACGCGAAAGCUAGGGGAGCGAACGGGAUUAGAUACCCUUGUAGUCC
rnacentral:rRNA from 1 species